UGGGGAAUAUUGGACAAUGGGCGAAAGCCUGAUCCAGCCAUGCCGCGUGUGUGAAGAAGGUCUUCGGAUUGUAAAGCACUUUAAGCUGGGAGGAAGGGCAGUAAGCGAAUACCUUGCUGUUUUGACGUUACCGACAGAAUAAGCACCGGCUAACUCUGUGCCAGCAGCCGCGGUAAUACAGAGGGUGCAAGCGUUAAUCGGAAUUACUGGGUGUAAAGCGCGCGUAGGUGGUUCGUUAAGUUGAAAGUGAAAGCCCCGGGCUCAACCUGGGAACUGCGUCCAAGACUGGCUGGCUGGAGUAGGGCGGAGGGUAGUGGAAUUUCCUGUGUAUCGGAGAAAUGCGUAGAUAUAGGAAGGAACACCAGUGGCGAAAACGACCACCUGGGCUCAUACUGCCACUGAGGUGCGAAAGCGUGGGGAGCAAACAGG
rnacentral:rRNA from 1 species